rnacentral:rRNA from 1 species
CCUACGGGAGGCUGCAGUGGGGAAUAUUGGACAAUGGGCGAAAGCCUGAUCCAGCCAUGCCGCGUGUGUGAAGAAGGCCUUCGGGUUGUAAAGCACUUUCAGUGGGGAAGAAAGCCUUGGGGCUAAUACCCUCGAGGAAGGACAUCACCCACAGAAGAAGCACCGGCUAACUCCGUGCCAGCAGCCGCGGAUAAUACGGAGGGUGCGAGCGUUAAUCGGAAUUACUGGGCGUAAAGCGCGCGUAGGCGGUCUGAUAAGCCGGUUGUGAAAGCCCCGGGCUCAACCUGGGAACGGCAUCCGGAACUGUCAGGCUAGAGUGCAGGAGAGGAAGGUAGAAUUCCCGGUGUAGCGGUGAAAUGCGUAGAGAUCGGGAGGAAUACCAGUGGCGAAGGCGGCCUUCUGGACUGACACUGACGCUGAGGUGCGAAAGCGUGGGUAGCAAACAGGAUUAGAUACCCCUGUAGUC